rnacentral:misc_RNA from 1 species
GCAGGUGCAGCCGAUCAUUCUUCUGGGCUAAAAGCAUUAUCUAGUUAAUCCCGUAAAACGGAUUAUUCACUUUAUUGCUGCAGCUUACUUUAAAAAGGAAGACAUGGUCAUUGUGCUGACUGAUGCAGGAAUUCUCAGAGGUCUGUAAAGACUUUUGAAAACUCGAUCUCAAAUCAAGUAAGACUACCCGCUGAACUUAA